AACGAACGCUGGCGGCAGGCCUAACACAUGCAAGUCGAGCGAGGACUUCGGUCCUAGCGGCGGACGGGUGAGUAACGCGUGGGAACGUGCCCUUUGCUUCGGAAUAGCCCUGGGAAACUGGGAGUAAUACCGGAUGAGCCCUUUGGGGGAAAGAUUUAUCGUCGAAGGAUCGGCCCGCGUUGGAUUAGGUAGUUGGUGGGGUAAUGGCCUACCAAGCCGACGAUCCAUAGCUGGUUUGAGAGGAUGAUCAGCCACACUGGGACUGAGACACGGCCCAGACUCCUACGGGAGGCAGCAGUGGGGAAUCUUAGACAAUGGGGGAAACCCUGAUCUAGCCAUGCCGCGUGAGAGAUGAAGGCCUUAGGGUUGUAAAGCUCUUUCAGCUGGGAAGAUAAUGACGGUACCAGCAGAAGAAGCCCCGGCUAACUCCGUG
rnacentral:rRNA from 1 species